GUGCUCACUUCGGCAACACAUAUACUAACACUGGAAUGAUACAAAGAAGAUUAGCAUGGCCCCUGUAAAAGGAUGACAUGCAAAGUCAUGAAGCAUUCUAUAUUUUU